GUGGAAAUGAAGAGGGAGAUGAAGUGCAAAUCAAAGGUAAAAGUGGGCAACGAUGAAGAUGUGAGGAGGCUUCAGAGGAGCAAAAGGUGAAAAAUGACAAGCGACAAGAAUCCCAGUCUAGGACCGGAGCUGUAGGACCACCUGUACAGCAAAAAAUACAGCAAAAAUGAAAAGUAGUGAGCAGAAGAAGGAGAAGAAGAAGAAGUGGGAUGGGAUGGAUUGGGACAGUGCUACGCUGUCAAAAUCUGCACACUCAGGAACUAUCAGAAAGAAAGAAAGAAAACACAAGAAAAUCAAUAAGAACAGAAGAAACAUGAAUAACAAUAAAUGAAGCAACAACAACAGAAGAGACAUUAGCUUUUCCAAAAUGGGGACUUGGAAGAGCCUUCAAAGCACCUUUCAUGUUGCUGUAGACUUGGUACAGGAUGCUAUUUGCCCCCAUGGGAAAGCCUACAUGCUGGUAACAUUCGGGGAGAACAGUCCCGAGGCUCUGGAGGCUCUGCGUCCACAAGACACCGAAGUCCGAUCU